AUCUUCUUGGUGUAAUGGUCAGUACACUCGGCUCCUAUUCGAGAGGUCCGAGGUUCGAGUCCCGGUGAGGGCA
rnacentral:tRNA from 1 species